ensembl:misc_RNA Metazoa_SRP Metazoan signal recognition particle RNA
GCCGGGCGUGGUGGCACGCGCCUAUAAUCCCAGCUACUUGGGAGGCUGAGGCAGGGGAAUCGCUUGAACCCGGGAGGUGAGGGUUGCAGUGAGCCAAGAUGGUGCUACUGCACUCCAGCCUGGGUGACAGGGUGAGACUCUGUCUCAA